ACGGGAAGAGCCCAAACCAACAAGCUUGCUUGUUGGGGUUGUAGGACACUCUAUACGGAGUUACAAAGGACGACAUUAGACGAAUCAUCUGGAAAGAUGAAUCAAAGAAGGUAAUAAUCCUGUAGUCGAAAAUGUUGUCUCUCUUGAGUGGAUCCUGAGUACGACGGAGCACGUGAAAUUCCGUCGGAAUCUGGGAGGACCAUCUCCUAAGGCUAAAUACUCUCUAGUGACCGAUAGUGAACCAGUACCGUGAGGGAAAGGUGAAAAGCACCCCGGAAGGGGAGUGAAAUAGAACCUGAAACCGUGUGCUUACAAGUAGUCAGAGCCCGUUAAUGGGUGAUGGCGUGCCUUUUGUAGAAUGAACCGGCGAGUUACGAUUUGAUGCAAGGUUAAGCAGUAAAUGUGGAGCCGUAGCGAAAGCGAGUCUGAAUAGGGCGUUUAGUAUUUGGUCGUAGACCCGAAACCAGGUGAUCUACCCUUGGUCAGGUUGAAGUUCAGGUAACACUGAAUGGAGGACCGAACCGACUUACGUUGAAAAGUGAGCGGAUGAACUGAGGGUAGCGGAGAAAUUCCAAUCGAACCUGGAGAUAGCUGGUUCUCUCCGAAAUAGCUUUAGGGCUAGCCUCAAGUGAUGAUUAUUGGAGGUAGAGCACUGUUUGGACGAGGGGCCCCUCUCGGGUUACCGAAUUCAGACAAACUCCGAAUGCCAAUUAAUUUAACUUGGGAGUCAGAACAUGGGUGAUAAGGUCCGUGUUCGAAAGGGAAACAGCCCAGACCACCAGCUAAGGUCCCAAAAUAUAUGUUAAGUGGAAAAGGAUGUGGCGUUGCCCAGACAACUAGGAUGUUGGCUUAGAAGCAGCCAUCAUUUAAAGAGUGCGUAAUAGCUCACUAGUCGAGUGACACUGCGCCGAAAAUGUACCGGGGCUAAACAUAUUACCGAAGCUGUGGAUUGUCCUUUGGACAAUGGUAGGAGAGCGUUCUAAGGGCGUUGAAGCAUGAUCGUAAGGACAUGUGGAGCGCUUAGAAGUGAGAAUGCCGGUGUGAGUAGCGAAAGACGGGUGAGAAUCCCGUCCACCGAUUGACUAAGGUUUCCAGAGGAAGGCUCGUCCGCUCUGGGUUAGUCGGGUCCUAAGCUGAGGCCGACAGGCGUAGGCGAUGGAUAACAGGUUGA
rnacentral:rRNA from 1 species